GAUGAACGCUGGCGGCGUGCCUAAUACAUGCAAGUCGAGCGAACGGACGAGAAGCUUGCUUCUCUGAUGUUAGCGGCGGACGGGUGAGUAACACGUGGAUAACCUACCUAUAAGACUGGGAUAACUUCGGGAAACCGGAGCUAAUACCGGAUAAUAUUUUGAACCGCAUGGUUCAAAUGUGAAAGACGGUCUUGCUGUCACUUAUAGAUGGAUCCGCGCUGCAUUAGCUAGUUGGUAAGGUAACGGCUUACCAAGGCAACGAUGCAAAGCCGACCUGAGAGGGUGAUCGGCCACACUGGACCUGAGACACGGUCCAGACUCCUACGGGAGGCAGCAGUAGGGAAUCUUCGGAAAUGGGCGAAAGCCUGACGGAGCAACGCCGCGUGAGUGAUGAAGGUCUUCGGAUCGUAAAACUCUGUUAUUAGGGAAGAACAUAUGUGUAAGUAACUGUGCACAUCUUGACGGUACCUAAUCAGAAAGCCACGGCUAACUACGUG
rnacentral:rRNA from 1 species